AAAUAAAUAUUAAUAAAAAAAUUUUUAAAUUUAUUAAGUAUUUUAAUGGGGGUUAAAGUAUUUUAAUAGAAAAAAUUUAAAUUUUUAUAGUUAAUUAGUAUUGUGAGAGAAAUUUGAAAUAAUUAUAAAAUAUAAAUUUAUUAAAAAGUAAUUUUUAUUUAGUGUAUCUUGUGUAUCAGAGUUUAUUAAAAAUUUAUUUUGGUUAAAAUUUUCUCGAAUUUAAAAGAGCGAAUUAAAUAUAAAAGUUAUUGUAGUAAAAAUAUUUUUAAUAUUUAAUUUGAAAUGAAAUGUUAUUCGUUUUUAAAUAUAUCUAGUUUUUUUAGAAAAAAAUUUAAUUUUAAAUUGAUUUUUAAACAUUUAUAUUUUAUUAAUAAAUUUUUAAGAUUAAUUUUAUAUUUUAAGGGAUAAGCUUUAAAUUAAAUUAAUAUAAUAUUUAAUUUAAUAUUGAAAAUUGUAUAAUUUAUAUUGUUAAAAAAUUUUAUUUUAUUAUAAAUAAUUUCAAUUAAUAUAAAAUUUAAUUAAAAUUUAUUAUUUUAUAAGAAAAAUAUAUUUAAUAAUAUAAUUUAAGUUAUAAUGAUAAAAUUAGUAUAAAUUUUUAUUAAUAUUAUUAAAUUUAAUUUAAGGUAUUUUAAAGGAAUUCGGCAAAAUUUUAUAUUCACUUGUUUAUCAAAAACAUGUCUUUUUGAAAAUAAUUUAAAGUCUAAUCUGCCCACUGAUUAAUAAUUAAAGGGCUGCAGUAUUUUGACUGUACAAAGGUAGCAUAAUCAUUAGUCAUUUAAUUGAUGACUUGUAUGAAAGAUUGGAUGAAAUAUGAACUGUCUUUAAAUUAAAUAUAGAAUUUAAUUUUUAAGUUAAAAAGCUUAAAUAAUUUAAAAAGACGAGAAGACCCUAUAGAGUUUUAUUAUUUAUUUAAAUUAAUAUUUUUAUAAUUAGUUGUAUUUAUGUUAAUUUUUAAUAAAUAAUUUUAUUGGGGUGAUAAAAAAAUUUAAUUAACUUUUUUUAAUUUAAAAACAUAAAUAAGUGAAUAUUUGAUCCAUAUUUUAUGAUUAUAAGAAAAAAUUACCUUAGGGAUAACAGCGUAAUUUUAUUUUUUAGUUCAAAUAAGAAAUAGAGUUUGCGACCUCGAUGUUGGAUUAAGAUAAAAUUUAAAUGCAGAAGUUUAAAAGUUUUGAUCUGUUCGAUCAUUAAAAUCUUACAUGAUCUGAGUUCAAACCGGUGUAAGCCAGGUUGGUUUCUAUCUUUUAAAAAUAAAAAUAUUUUAGUACGAAAGGAUUAAAUAUUUGAAUUAUAUUUUUUAAUUUGAAUUUUAUUAAAUAUAUAUAUAUAUAUAUAUAAAAAUUAUUAUGGAUUU
rnacentral:rRNA from 1 species